rnacentral:rRNA from 1 species
AUACGGAGGAUGCGAGCGUUAUCCGGAUUUAUUGGGUUUAAAGGGAGCGUAGGCGGACGCUUAAGUCAGUUGUGAAAGUUUGCGGCUCAACCGUAAAAUUGCAGUUGAUACUGGGUGUCUUGAGUACAGUAGAGGUGGGCGGAAUUCGUGGUGUAGCGGUGAAAUGCUUAGAUAUCACGAAGAACUCCGAUUGCGAAGGCAGCUCACUGGACUGCAACUGACACUGAUGCUCGAAAGUGUGGGUAUCAAACAGGAUUAGAUACCCUGGUAGUCCACACAGUAAACGAUGAAUACUCGCUGUUUGCGAUAUACAGUAAGCGGCCAAGCGAAAGCAUUAAGUAUUCCACCUGGGGAGUACGCCGGCAACGGUGAAACUCAAAUGAAUUGGCGGGG